rnacentral:rRNA from 1 species
GUAACUGACGCUGAUGCUCGAAAGUGUGGGUAUCAAACAGGAUUAGAUACCCUGGUAGUCCACACAGUAAACGAUGAAUACUCGCUGUUUGCGAUAUACAGCAAGCGGCCAAGCGAAAGCAUUAAGUAUUCCACCUGGGGAGUACGCCGGCAACGGUGAAACUCAAAGGAAUUGACGGGGGCCCGCACAAGCGGAGGAACAUGUGGUUUAAUUCGAUGAUACGCGAGGAACCUUACCCGGGCUUAAAUUGCAACUGAAUAUAGUGGAAACAUUAUAGCCGCAAGGCAGUUGUGAAGGUGCUGCAUGGUUGUCGUCAGCUCGUGCCGUGAGGUGUCGGCUUAAGUGCCAUAACGAGCGCAACCCUUAUCUUUAGUUACUAACAGGUUAUGCUGAGGACUCUAGAGAGACUGCCGUCGUAAGAUGUGAGGAAGGUGGGGAUGACGUCAAAUCAGCACGGCCCUUACGUCCGGGGCUACACACGUGUUACAAUGGGGGGUACAGAAGGCAGCUACACAGCGAUGUGAUGCUAAUCCCAAAAGCCUCUCUCAGUUCGGAUUGGAGUCUGCAACCCGACUCCAUGAAGCUGGAUUCGCUAGUAAUCGCGCAUCAGCCACGGCGCGGUGAAUACGUUCCCGGGCCUUGUACACACCGCCCGUCAAGCCAUGAAAGCCGGGGGUACCUGAAGUCCGUAACCGUAAGGAGCGGCCUAGGGUAAAACUGGUAAUUGGGGCUAAGUCGUAACAAGGUAGCCGUACCGGAAGGUGCGGCUG